CCUACGGGAGGCAGCAGUGAGGAAUAUUGGUCAAUGGACGGAAGCCUGAACCAGCCAAGUAGCGUGCAGGAUGACGGCCCUCCGGGUUGUAAACUGCUUUUAUUCGGGAAUAACGCGCCUUACGUGUAUGGCUUUGCGUGUACCGUAUGAGUAAGGACCGGCGAAUUCCGUGCCAGCAGCCGCGGUAAUACGUAGGGGGCACGCGUUAUCCGGAUUUAAUGGGUGUAAAGGGAGCGUAGACGGUGUAGCAAGUCUGAUGUGAAAGGCCGGGGCCCAACCCCGGGAAUGCAGUGGAAACUGGUGAACUGGAGUACAGGAGAGGUAAGCGGAAUUCCUAGUGUAGCGGUGAAAUGCGUAGAUAUUAGGAGGAACACCAGUGGCGAAGGCGGCUUACUGGACUGUAACUGACGUUGAGGCUCGAAAGCGUGGGGAGCAAACAGGAUUAGAUACCCCAGUAGUC
rnacentral:rRNA from 1 species